GACGAACGCUGGCGGCGUGCUUAACACAUGCAAGUCGAGCGGUAAGGCCCUUUCGGGGGUACACGAGCGGCGAACGGGUGAGUAACACGUGGGUGACCUGCCCUUAGCUCUGGGAUAAGCCUGGGAAACUGGGUCUAAUACCGGAUAUGACUCCAUGACGCAUGUUGUGGGGUGGAAAGCCUUGUGCGGCUAGGGAUGGGCCCGCGGCCUAUCAGCUUGUUGGUGGGGUGAUGGCCUACCAAGGCGACGACGGGUAGCCGGCCUGAGAGGGCGACCGGCCACACUGGGACUGAGACACGGCCCGGACUCCUACGGGAGGCAGCAGUGGGGAAUCUUGCGCAAUGGGCGAAAGCCUGACGCAGCGACGCCGCGUGGGGAUGAC
rnacentral:rRNA from 1 species